rnacentral:rRNA from 1 species
AGUGGCGAACGGGUGAGUAAAGUAUCGGAACGUGCCCAGUCGUGGGGGAUAACGUAGCGAAAGUUACGCUAAUACCGCAUACGAUCUAUGGAUGAAAGCGGGGGAUCGCAAGACCUCGCGCGAUUGGAGCGGCCGAUAUCAAAUUAGGUAGUUGGUGGGGUAAAGGCUCACCAAGCCGACGAUCUGUAGCUGGUCUGAGAGGACGACCAGCCACACUGGGACUGAGACACGGCCCACACUCCUACGGGAGGCAGCAGUGGGGAAUUUUGGACAAUGGGCGCAAGCCUGAUCCAGCCAUGCCGCGUGCAGGAUGAAGGCCUUCGGGUUGUAAACUGCUUUUGUACGGAACGAAAAGGUUUGGCCUAAUAAGCUGAGCUCAUGACGGUACCGUAAGAAUAAGCACCGGCUAACUACGUGCCAGCAGCCGCGGUAAUACGUAGGGUGCGAGCGUUAAUCGGAAUUACUGGGCGUAAAGCGUGCGCAGGCGGUUAUAUAAGACAGAUGUGAAAUCCCCGGGCUCAACCUGGGAACUGCAUUAGUGACUGCAUAGCUGGAGUACGGCAGAAAGGGGGGAAUGGAAUUCCCGCGGGGUAGCAGUGAAAUGCGUAAAAUAAUGGCAGGAGGAACCACCGAAUGGGCCGAAGGCCACUUCUCCUGGUGCCCUGUACUGACGCUCAUGCACGAAAGUCGGUGGA